rnacentral:rRNA from 2 species
UCGAGAAUUUUUCACAAUGGGGGAAACCCUGAUGGAGCGACGCCGCGUGGGGGAUGAAUGGCUUCGGCCCGUAAACCCCUGUCAUUUGCGAUCAAACCUUGCUAUUUAAAAGAUGGCGAGCUGAUAGUAGCGAAAGAGGAAGGGACGGCUAACUCUGUGCCCGCAGCCGCGGUAAUACAGAGGUCCCGAGCGUCGUUCGGAUUCACGGGGCGUAAAGGGUGCGUAGGUGGUGAGGUGUGUCGGAUGUGAAAUCUCGGAGCUCAACUCCGAAAUGGCAUUGGAAACUACCUUGCUAGAGGGUUGGAGGGGGGACUGGAAUACUUGGUGUAGCAGUGAAAUGCGUAGAUAUCAAGUGGAACACCAGUGGCGAAGGCGAGUCCCUGGACAACUCCUGACACUGAGGCACGAAAGCUAGGGGAGCAAACAGG